rnacentral:rRNA from 1 species
CAUGGCUCAGAUUGAACGCUGGCGGCAGGCCUAACACAUGCAAGUCGAGCGGUAGCACAAGAGAGCUUGCUCUCUGGGUGACGAGCGGCGGACGGGUGAGUAAUGUCUGGGAAACUGCCUGAUGGAGGGGGAUAACUACUGGAAACGGUAGCUAAUACCGCAUGACGUCUUCGGACCAAAGUGGGGGACCUUCGGGCCUCACGCCAUCAGAUGUGCCCAGAUGGGAUUAGCUAGUAGGUGGGGUAAUGGCUCACCUAGGCGACGAUCUCUAGCUGGUCUGAGAGGAUGACCAGCCACACUGGAACUGAGACACGGUCCAGACUCCUACGG